UACGUAGGUGGCAAGCGUUAUCCGGAAUUAUUGGGCGUAAAGAGCGCGCAGGUGGUUGAUUAAGUCUGAUGUGAAAGCCCACGGCUUAACCGUGGAGGGUCAUUGGAAACUGGUCGACUUGAGUGCAGAAGAGGGAAGUGGAAUUCCAUGUGUAGCGGUGAAAUGCGUAGAGAUAUGGAGGAACACCAGUGGCGAAGGCGGCUUCCUGGUCUGUAACUGACACUGAGGCGCGAAAGCGUGGGGAGCAAACAGGAUUAGAAACCCCUGUAGUCC
rnacentral:rRNA from 1 species